UACGUAGGGUGCGAGCGUUGUCCGGAAUUAUUGGGCGUAAAGAGCUUGUAGGCGGUUUGUCGCGUCUGCUGUGAAAUCUCAAGGCUCAACUCUGGGCCUGCAUUCGAUACGGGCAGACUAGAGUACGGCAGGGGAGACUGGAAUUCCUGGUGUAGCGGUGAAAUGCGCAGAUAUCAGGAGGAACACCGGUGGCGAAGGCGGGUCUCUGGGCCGUAACUGACGCUGGAGGAGCGAAAGCGUGGGGAGCGAACAGG
rnacentral:rRNA from 1 species